rnacentral:rRNA from 1 species
GCAAACCACAGAAACGGCGUCCCAGUUCGGAUUGCAGCCUGCAACUCGGCUGCAUGAAGCUGGAAUCGCUAGUAAUCGCGGAUCAGAAUGCCGCGGUGAAUACGUUCCCGGGUCUUGUACACACCGCCCGUCACACCAUGGGAGUCGGGAAUGCCCGAAGUCAGUGACCCAACCGAAAGGGGGGAGCUGCCGAAGGCAGGCCUGGUAACUGGGGUGAAGUCGUAACAAGGUACC